CUAUGCUCUAUGAGAUUAUAGCCAAUGAUGGAGCUUUUGCCUAUUACUUUUACACUCAAUGGACAUUUGCUUUAGUAAUGCUGUAUUUUGCGAUCUGAAAAUGGGAAAGUUGCUGAGUUUCUGAGAAGGGAUAUGGAAGAAUCUGCCAAGCUGCAGAAUCAGUAUGGUGAAGAUGCAUUUAAGGUAAUGUUGGGGAAUGUUAUGCAGGCUAUUUAUCAGGUUAGUCCAUGUUGAUGGCUAUAUUAUUAAGUAAGUAAAACCAUUUCCUGAAAUCUUGCUUUUC